AUACGUAGGGGGCGAGCGUUGUCCGGAAUGAUUGGGCGUAAAGGGCGCGUAGGCGGCGCGGUAAGUCUGGAGUGAAAGUCCUGCUUUCAAGGUGGGAAUUGCUUUGGAUACUGCCGCGCUUGAGUGCAGGAGAGGUUAUCGGAAUUCCCGGUGUAGCGGUGAAAUGCGUAGAGAUCGGGAGGAACACCAGUGGCGAAGGCGGGUAACUGGACUGCAACUGACGCUGAGGCGCGAAAGUGUGGGGAGCAAACAGGAUUAGAUACCCUGGUAGUCCACACUGUAAACGAUGAAUGCUAGGUGUAAGAGGUAUCGACCCCUUUUGUGCCGGAGUCAACACAAUAAGCAUUCCGCCUGGGGAGUACGGCCGCAAGGUUGAAACUCAAAUGAAUUGACGGG
rnacentral:rRNA from 1 species